CGAUCUGAGACUUGAAGAGGACCUUGAGCGCCACGAUGAAAUGGCUUUUCUUCUCCCGAGCCAAGCUUGGGCACUUACGUGAAGUUGGGCACCCCAUUGCAGUUCUCCACCACCUUCUGGCCAGGGACAGCUAAGGAAAGCGCAGGAUCCCCUCCCACUCCACCCAUGAACGCUCAGCACACCGGUGGGGUGCGCGCGGGCCACCCCAACGGACCCGCGACCUGCCUGAUCACCUGGCGCUAAGCCCGCGAAAGGAG